GACGAACGCUGGCGGCGUGCUUAACACAUGCAAGUCGAACGAGAAUCUGUGGAUCGAGGAUUCGUCCAAGUGAAGCAGAGGACAGUGGCGGACGGGUGAGUAACGCGUGAGGAACCUGCCUUUCAGAGGGGGACAACAGUUGGAAACGACUGCUAAUACCGCAUGAUACGUUUUAGGGGCAUCCCUGAGACGUCAAAGAUUUAUCGCUGAAAGAUGGCCUCGCGUCUGAUUAGCUGGUUGGUGAGGUAACGGCCCACCAAGGCGACGAUCAGUAGCCGGACUGAGAGGUUGACCGGCCACAUUGGGACUGAGAUACGGCCCAGACUCCUACGGGAGGCAGCAGUGGGGAAUAUUGGGCAAUGGGCGCAAGCCUGACCCAGCAACGCCGCGUGAAGGAAGAAGGCUUUCGGGUUGUAAACUUCUUUUAAGAGGGAAGAGCAGAAGACUGUACCUCUAGAAUAAGCCACGGCUAACUACGUG
rnacentral:rRNA from 1 species